AUAAUGGGUCAGCGACUUAUAUUCUGUAGCAAGGUUAACCGAAUAGGGGAGCCGAAGGGAAACCGAGUCUUAACUGGGCGUUAAGUUGCAGGGUAUAGACCCGAAACCCGGUGAUCUAGCCAUGGGCAGGUUGAAGGUUGGGUAACACUAACUGGAGGACCGAACCGACUAAUGUUGAAAAAUUAGCGGAUGACUUGUGGCUGGGGGUGAAAGGCCAAUCAAACCGGGAGAUAGCUGGUUCUCCCCGAAAGCUAUUUAGGUAGCGCCUCGUGAAUUCAUCUCCGGGGGUAGAGCACUGUUUCGGCAAGGGGGUCAUCCCGACUUACCAACCCGAUGCAAACUGCGAAUACCGGAGAAUGUUAUCACGGGAGACACACGGCGGGUGCUAACGUCCGUCGUGAAGAGGGAAACAACCCAGACCGCCAGCUAAGGUCCCAAAGUCAUGGUUAAGUGGGAAACGAUGUGGGAAGGCCCAGACAGCCAGGAUGUUGGCUUAGAAGCAGCCAUCAUUUAAAGAAAGCGUAAUAGCUCACUGGUCGAGUCGGCCUGCGCGGAAGAUGUAACGGGGCUAAACCAUGCACCGAAGCUGCGGCAGCGACGCUUAUGCGUUGUUGGGUAGGGGAGCGUUCUGUAAGCCUGCGAAGGUGUGCUGUGAGGCAUGCUGGAGGUAUCAGAAGUGCGAAUGCUGACAUAAGUAACGAUAAAGCGGGUGAAAAGCCCGCUCGCCGGAAGACCAAGGGUUCCUGUCCAACGUUAAUCGGGGCAGGGUGAGUCGACCCCUAAGGCGAGGCCGAAAGGCGUAGUCGAUGGGAAACAGGUUAAUAUUCCUGUACUUGGUGUUACUGCGAAGGGGGGACGGAGAAGGCUAUGUUGGCCGGGCGACGGUUGUCCCGGUUUAAGCGUGUAGGCUGGUUUUCCAGGCAAAUCCGGAAAAUCAAGGCUGAGGCGUGAUGACGAGGCACUACGGUGCUGAAGCAACAAAUGCCCUGCUUCCAGGAAAAGCCUCUAAGCAUCAGGUAACAUCAAAUCGUACCCCAAACCGACACAGGUGGUCAGGUAGAGAAUACCAAGGCGCUUGAGAGAACUCGGGUGAAGGAACUAGGCAAAAUGGUGCCGUAACUUCGGGAGAAGGCACGCUGAUAUGUAGGUGAAGUCCCUCGCGGAUGGAGCUGAAAUCAGUCGAAGAUACCAGCUGGCUGCAACUGUUUAUUAAAAACACAGCACUGUGCAAACACGAAAGUGGACGUAUACGGUGUGACG
rnacentral:rRNA from 1 species